rnacentral:snRNA from 1 species
GUGCUCGCUUCGACAGCACAUAUACUAAAAUUGGAGCAAUACAAAGAUUAGCAUGGCCCCUGCACAAGGAUGACACUCAAAUUUGUGAAGUGUUCCAUAUUUAA